rnacentral:rRNA from 1 species
UACGGGGGGGGGCAAGCGUUGUUCGGAAUUACUGGGCGUAAAGGGCUCGUAGGCGGCCAACUAAGUCAUACGUGAAAUCCCCCGGCUUAACCGGGGAACUGCGUCGGAUACUGGAUGGCUUGAAUCCGGGAGAGGGAUGCGGAAUUCCAGGUGUAGCGGUGAAAUGCGUAGAUAUCUGGAGGAACACCGGUGGCGAAGGCGGCAUCCUGGACCGGCAUUGACGCUGAGGAGCGAAAGCCAGGGAGCAAAGCGGG